GGUAGCUAAUACCGCAUAACGUCUUCGGACCAAAGUGGGGGACCUUCGGGCCUCAUGCCAUCAGAUGUGCCCAGAUGGGAUUAGCUAGUAGGUGGGGUAACGGCUCACCUAGGCGACGAUCCCUAGCUGGUCUGAGAGGAUGACCAGCCACACUGGAACUGAGAC
rnacentral:rRNA from 1 species